rnacentral:rRNA from 1 species
AACGAACGCUGGCGGCAUGCCUAACACAUGCGAGUCGAACGAGACCUUCGGGUCUAGUGGCGCACGGGUGCGUAACGCGUGGGAACCUGCCCUUAGGUUCGGAAUAACUCCCCGAAAGGGGUGCUAAUACCGGAUAAUGUCUUCGGACCAAAGAUUUAUCGCCUUUGGAUGGGCCCGCGUUGGAUUAGCUAGUUGGUAGGGUAAAAGCCUACCAAGGCGACGAUCCAUAGCUGGUCUGAGAGGAUGAUCAGCCACACUGGGACUGAGACACGGCCCAGACUCCUACGGGAGGCAGCAGUGGGGAAUAUUGGACAAUGGGCGAAAGCCUGAUCCAGCAAUGCCGCGUGAGUGAUGAAGGCCUUAGGGUUGUAAAGCUCUUUUACCCGGGAUGAUAAUGACAGUACCGGGAGAAUAAGCUCCGGCGAACUCCGU